GACGAACGCUGGCGGCGUGCUUAACACAUGCAAGUCGAACGGAGAGGCCCUGCUUUGGUGCGGUGCUUGAGUGGCGAACGGGUGAGUAACACGUGAGCAACCUGCCCUUGACUUCGGGAUAACUUCAGGAAACUGUGGCUAAUACCGGAUAGGAGCCCCUCCUGCAUGGUGGGCGGUGGAAAGGAUCGUCGGUUGGGGAUGAGCUCGCGGCCUAUCAGCUUGUUGGUGGGGUAGCGGCUCACCAAGGCGUCGACGGGUAGCCGGCCUGAGAGGGUGACCGGCCACAUUGGGACUGAGAUACGGCCCAGACUCCUACGGGAGGCAGCAGUGGGGAAUAUUGCACAAUGGGCGGAAGCCUGAUGCAGCAACGCCGCGUGAGGGAUGACGGCCUUCGGGUUGUAAACCGCUUUUGCCUGUGAAGAAGCGAGAGUGACGGUAAUGGGAGAAGAAGCACCGGCUAACUACGUG
rnacentral:rRNA from 1 species